UUUAGCUGGGGAGUUGCCCUCUUUCGUAUAUUGAGAUUGCGCUGACCAGGACUGGUGUCAGUGUACAUGUGUUAACGCGUUUUGCAAGGUUCUGACGGCAUUUUCAGCUAUCUCCUCUUAAAAUCCCCGCAGUAAGUUAGAUGCUCAGGGAGCUUAAAUCCUCACCUCUCCAAGAUUUCCACCAAAGCGCCCUUCCCGCCAAAGAGGUUUCCCCGUGCCGGAGGAAUGGAACGAAGGAAGGCUGGCCAGAAAGGCAAUGCAAGGUAACAAAGUUUGCUGCCGUAUACUGUCUGCCAUCUGCCGUCCAAGACGCUUUUGCUAUUGUUUAGGGAAAUUUUCUGCCACAGACCGGCUGCAGAAAGCUAGAAGUUCCUGGCGGUGAGGGGUAAGGAACUGAAAAGCACCAGUAUGGGGUCAGAAGGGCCAAGACAACUGAUGGUUGCAAGGCAAGUUUAUUCAAAGAGCAUGAAUGUAUA